rnacentral:rRNA from 1 species
UACGUAGGGUGCGAGCGUUAAUCGGAAUUACUGGGCGUAAAGCGUGCGUAGGUGGUUUACUAAGUCAGGUGUGAAAUCCCCGGGCUCAACCUGGGAACUGCGCUUGAUACUGGUAAACUAGAGUUUAGUAGAGGGAAGUGGAAUUCCACGUGUAGCGGUGAAAUGCGUAGAUAUGUGGAGGAACACCAGUGGCGAAGGCAGCCCCCUGGGCCAAUACUGACGCUCAUGCACGAAAGCGUGGGGAGCAAACAGG